rnacentral:misc_RNA from 1 species
GAUGAAGAACGCAGCGAAAUGCGAUAAGUAGUGUGAAUUGCAGAAUUCAGUGAAUCAUCGAAUCUUUGAACGCACAUUGCGCCCGCCAGUAUUCUGGCGGGCAUGCCUGUUCGAGCGUCAUUUCAACCCUCAAGCACAGCUUGGUGUUGGGACUCGCGUUAAUUCGCGUUCCCCAAAUUGAUUGGCGGUCACGUCGAGCUUCCAUGGCGUAGUAGUAAAACCCUCGUUACUGGUAAUCGUCGCGGCCACGCCGUUAAACCCCAACUUCUGAAUGUUGACCUCGGAUCAGGUAGGAAUACCCGCUGAACUUAAGCAUAUCAAUAAGCGGAGGA